AAAGUCGUAACAAGGUCUCCGUAGGUGAACCUGUGGAGGGAUCAUUACCGAAUGGCCCUAGGCCAUCGACCCUUCAAACCCGUGGAAGACAGAAGAUUGUGCUUCGGCGCCCCGGCGUCGUGUUUAUGCAAUGACCAGCCUGUCGUCUGAACUGGAAACAAAUGAUUAAAACUUUCAACAAAGGAUCUCUUGGCUCUC
rnacentral:misc_RNA from 1 species